AGGCGGCGGUGGCAGCCAUGUUGUUGUUUGAUCUGUGGAUGAAAUGAAUCAUGAUUUUCAAGCUCUUGCAUUAGAAUCUCGGGGAAUGGGAGAGCUUUUGCCUACCAAAAAGUUUUGGGAACCUGAUGAUUCAACAAAAGAUGGACAAAAAGGCAUAUUUCUUGGGGAUGAUGAAUGGAGAGAGACUGCAUGGGGAGCUUCUCACCAUUCAAUGUCCCAGCCUAUUAUGGUACAGAGAAGAUCUGGACAGGGUUUUCAUGGAAACAGUGAAGUAAAUGCAAUACUGUCUCCGCGAUCAGAAAGUGGAGGCCUUGGUGUGAGCAUGGUAGAAUAUGUAUUAAGUUCUUCUCCUGCUGAUAAAUUGGAUUCUCGAUUUAGGAAGGGAAAUUUUUCGUACUCCUGGAAGUCGUCAAGCCUCUCCAACUGAAGUAGUUGAGCGCUUGGGCCCCAAUACUAAUCCCUCAGAAGGACUGGGGCCUCUUCCUAAUCCUACAGCUAAUAAACCACUUGUUGAAGAAUUUUCAAAUCCUGAAACUCAGAAUCUGGAUGCCAUGGAACAAGU
rnacentral:lncRNA from 1 species